rnacentral:rRNA from 1 species
UUACCUGCGCUGGACCAUGUAUAAGUCUCCUGGAAUGGAGCGUCACAGAGGGUGAGAAUCCCGUCUUUGACAUGGACUGCCAGUGUGUUGUGGUGUGCUCUCAAAGAGUCGAGUUGUUUGGGAAUGCAGCUCUAAAUGGGUGGUAAACUCCAUCUAAAGCUAAAUAUUGGCGAGAGACCGAUAGCGAACAAGUACCGUGAGGGAAAGAUGAAAAGGACUUUGGAAAGAGAGUUAAACAGUAUGUGAAAUUGUUGAAAGGGAAACGCUUGAAGUCAGUUAUGUUGGCUAGGGAUCAGCCUAGUUUGCUGGGUGAAUUUCCUAGUCUGACAGGCCAACAUCAGUUCUGACUGCUGGAAAAGAGCAGAGGGAAUGUGGCACCUCUGGGUGUGUUAUAGCCUUUUGUCAUAUGUGGCAGUUGGGACUGAGGGAUGCAGCAUGCCGUGAGGCUUGGUUUCGACCAUGUUCAUGCUUAGGAUGUUGGCAUUUAAUGGCUUCAAUCGACCCGUCUUGAAACACGGACCAAGGAGUCUAACAUGCCUGCGAGUGUUUGGGUGGAG